rnacentral:rRNA from 1 species
AGUGAACGCUGGCGGCGUGGAUUAGGCAUGCAAGUCGAGCGAUCCCGCAAGGGAUAGCGGCAAAAGGGUGAGUAACACGUAAGCAAUUUUCCUUCGAGACGGGGAUAGCAUCGUGAAAACGGUGGUAAUACCCGAUGUUAUGGUUGUUCCGCAUGGAGCGAUCAUCAAAGACAGGGAUCCUUCGGGACCAGUCACUCGGAGAUGAGCUUGCGUACCAUCAGCUAGUUGGUAGGGUAAUGGCCUACCAAGGCUAAGACGGUUAGCUGGACUGAGAGGUUGACCAGCCACACUGGGACUGAGACACUGCCCAGACUCCUACGGGUGGCUG